rnacentral:tRNA from 1 species
GGAGGGGUGGCCGAGUGGUUAAAGGCAGCAGACUGUAAAUCUGCCGGCGCAAGUCUACGUGGGUUCGAAUCCUACCCCCUCCACCA